GGGCGCUUAGCUCAGCGGGAGAGCACUGCCUUCACACGGCAGGGGUCACUGGUUCGAUCCCAGUAGCGCCCACCA
rnacentral:tRNA from 4 species